UCCGGUGUAGCUCAAAGGUAGAGCAGCGCUCUGUUAAAGCGUUGGUUGUAGGUUCGAUUCCUACCACCGGAGCAA
rnacentral:tRNA from 3 species